rnacentral:rRNA from 1 species
GAUGAACGCUGGCGGCGUGCCUAAUACAUGCAAGUCGAGCGAACGGACGAGAAGCUCGCUUCUCUGAUGUUAGCGGCGGACGGGUGAGUAACACGUGGAUAACCUACCUAUAAGACUGGGAUAACUUCGGGAAACCGUAGCUAAUACCGGAUAAUAUUUUGACCCGCAUGGUUCAAAAGUGAAAGACGGUCUUGCUGUCACUUAUAGAUGGAUCCGCGCUGCAUUAGCUAGUUGGUAAGGUAACGGCUUACCAAGGCAACGAUGCAUAGCCGACCUGAGAGGGUGGUCGGCCACACUGGAACUGAGACACGGUCCAGACUCCUACGGGAGGCAGCAGUAGGGAAUCUUCCGCAAUGGGCGAAAGCCUGACGGAGCAACGCCGCGUGGGUGAUGAAGGUCUUCGGAUCGUAAAACUCUGUUAUUAGGGAAGAACAUAUGUGUAAGUAACUGUGCACAUCUUGACGGUACCUAAUCAGAAAGCCACGGCUAACUACGUG